rnacentral:rRNA from 1 species
UGGGGAAUAUUGGACAAUGGGCGAAAGCCUGAUCCAGCCAUGCCGCGUGUGUGAAGAAGGUCUUCGGAUUGUAAAGCACUUUAACUUGGGAGGAAGGGCAGUAAGCGAAUACCUUGCUGUUUUGACGUUACCGACAGAAUAAGCACCGGCUAACUCUGUGCCAGCAGCCGCGGUAAUACAGAGGGUGCAAGCGUUAAUCGGAAUUACUGGGCGUAAAGCGCGCGUAGGUGGUUCGUUAAGUUGAAUGUGAAAGCCCCGGGCUCAACCUGGGAACGGCAUCCAAAACUGGGGAGCUAGAGGAGGGCAGAGGGUGGUGGGCUUUCGUGUGUAGCGGUGAAAUAGGUAGAUAUAGGAAGGAACACCAGUGGGGAAGGCGGCCACCUGGGCUAAUACUGACACUAAAGUGCGAAAGCGUGGGGAGCAAACGGG